rnacentral:rRNA from 2 species
CAAUCAAACCGGGAGAUAGCUGGUUCUCCCCGAAAGCUAUUUAGGUAGCGCCUCGUGAAUUCAUCUCCGGGGGUAGAGCACUGUUUCGGCUAGGGGGCCAUCCCGGCUUACCAACCCGAUGCAAACUGCGAAUACCGGAGAAUGUUAUCACGGGAGACACACGGCGGGUGCUAACGUCCGUCGUGAAGAGGGAAACAACCCAGACCGCCAGCUAAGGUCCCAAAGUCAUGGUUAAGUGGGAAACGAUGUGGGAAGGCCCAGACAGCCAGGAUGUUGGCUUAGAAGCAGCCAUCAUUUAAAGAAAGCGUAAUAGCUCACUGGUCGAGUCGGCCUGCGCGGAAGAUGUAACGGGGCUAAACCAUGCACCGAAGCUGCGGCAGCGAACGUAUCACCCAAGACAACUUUACGGAGUUGACGAUUGACGGAGCGAAGCGACGUCAAAGCGUUCAUUAAAGUCGAGUUGGCUUAGGGAUACGUUCGUUGGGUAGGGGAGCGUUCUGUAAGCCUGUGAAGGUGUGUCGUGAGGCAUGCUGGAGGUAUCAGAAGUGCGAAUGCUGACAUAAGUAACGAUAAAGCGGGUGAAAAGCCCGCUCGCCGGAAGACCAAGGGUUCCUGUCCAACGUUAAUCGGGGCAGGGUGAGUCGACCCCUAAGGCGAGGCCGAAAGGCGUAGUCGAUGGGAAACGGGUUAAUAUUCCCGUACUUGGUGUUACUGCGAAGGGGGGACGGAGAAGGCUAUGUUGGCCGGGCGACGGUUGUCCCGGUUUAAGCGUGUAGGUGUGUGUUCCAGGUAAAUCCGGUUCACUUUAACACUGAGGCGUGA